AAACAUUUUUCGAAAAAUGUUUUUCUUUAUACCAAACACACUCUAUAUGUAAAAAUGGAAGAAUAAAUAAUCCAAAGACUAUUUGAUACCUCCAACCAAACACAAGAUAUUUUUAUAUAGUGUUUUAUUUCGAAAUUAUUACGACUUAUAAUCUCUCACACCAAACUACUCUUCUAGGUAAACUUAUGCAUUGUAGUGUGCAGAUCAAAAAAGUCGAUCAAUGAUUUAAUUAAAAAAUGACGUACCUGAGAUAUAUGAAUGAAAAAACUCAAUAAAUUUAAAAAUUUAUUUAUGAGUUCGACCAUUUUUUUAUAUCACGUGGUAAUAGAUAACAUGUGAUUCUAACAAGAGACGCUUGCUGGUGUUUGCUUGAUACUCAAUUUGUUCAAUUUACUUUUUCUUUAUUUCGUUUAAAAUAGAAUGACCAUUAUAAUAACUUUUUAGUUUUAUUUUUUUUGACAUGAUAUGAUAACAUGAUGACAUUAAAAAAUAGCAUGAUGUAUUUAACAUAUUUUAAUUUUAAAUUACAAAUCUAGUAAUUCUUCUAUACUUUCUAAUUUUCAUAUCAAGUUAAAAUAUAAGUUAAAUAAAUUAAAGGGAAAAGACUCAAAUAUGCAAUUAAAUUUUUAGAAAAAGUUUAUUUAUGUUAUCAGUUAAAAGUUUGGCUUAUUUAUGUCAUUACCGUUAAAGAAAAAACUCAUUCAUGCCAUUAUUUUUUAACGGUGGUUUUGCAAAACUAUUUUGACACGUGAUCAAUUAUAAUUCGGUUCACAUCAUUAAUUAUUUUAUUUGAAAAAAAUAGUUCAAAUUUUUAUUCAGAAUUUUAAUUUUUUUAUUAAAAAAAUUAAUAAUGUGGUCAAUUA
rnacentral:misc_RNA from 1 species